UAAUACGGAGGAUCCAAGCGUUAUCCGGAUUUAUUGGGUUUAAAGGGUGCGUAGGCGGGAAUAUAAGUCAGUGGUGAAAGUCUGGCAGCUUAACUGUAGAAUUGCCAUUGAUACUGUAUUUCUUGAGUGUAAUUGAGGUAGGCGGAAUGUGUAGUGUAGCGGUGAAAUGCUUAGAUAUUACACAGAACACCGAUUGCGUAGGCAGCUUACUAAGUUAUAACUGACGCUGAGGCACGAAAGCGUGGGGAUCAAACAGGAUUAGAUACCCUGGUAGUCCACGCUGUAAACGAUGAUAACUGGCUGUUGGCGAUAUACCGUCAGCGGCAAAGCGAAAGUGAUAAGUUAUCCACCUGGGGAGUACGCCGGCAACGGUGAAACUCAAAUGAAUUGACGG
rnacentral:rRNA from 1 species